UACGUAGGGGGCAAGCGUUGUCCGGAUUUACUGGGCGUAAAGAGCGUGUAGGCGGCCAUACAGGUCCGUUGUGAAAACUGGAGGCUCAACUUCCAGACGUCGACGGAAACCGUGUGGCUAGAGUCCGGAAGAGGAGAGUGGAAUUCCUGGUGUAGCGGUGAAAUGCGCAGAUAUCAGGAAGAACACCAAUGGCGAAGGCAGCUCUCUGGGACGGUACUGACGCUGAGACGCGCAAGCGUGGGGAGCGAACAGG
rnacentral:rRNA from 1 species